AUUGAACGCUGGCGGCAGGCCUAACACAUGCAAGUCGAGCGGAGCGGCGGACGGGGGAGUAAUGCCUAGGAAUCGGCAUGGUAGUGGGGGAUGACGUCCGGUACCGGGCGCUAAUACCGCAUACUAUCAGAUGAGCCUAGGGCGGAUUAGCUAGUUGGAGGGGUAAAGGUCUACCAAGGCGACGAUCCGUAACUGGUCUGAGAGGAUGAUCAGUCACACUGGAACUGAGACACGGUCCAGACUCCUACGGGAGGCAGCAGUGGGGAAUAUUGGACAAUGGGCGAAAGCCUGAUCCAGCCAUGCCGCGUGUAUGAAGAAGGUCUUCGGGUUGUAAAGCACUUUAAGUUGGGAGGCGUUACCAACAGAAUAAGCACCGGCUAACUCCGUGCCAGCAGCCGCGGUAAUUC
rnacentral:rRNA from 1 species